GCCCAUUCAGUAUAGUGGUGAAUGAUGCUGACUGUUGUACGGUUAGGCCUGGGUUUGAUUCCCAGAGUGGGUA